UAUGUUCACGAAAGCUUUUCAAAUUUCUUAGGCUUAAAAUUUUUCUUUUUAGCAUCCAUUUCUGAAGAAUGCCAAACCAUUAGCAAGUCUUGUUCCUUUAAUUAUGGCUGCUAAGGAAGCAACUCAGCGACAUUAAUAGUGGAAGACCCAAGAAAAUAUUACAUCCUAACUGUAAAGAAUAAACAUUUAUUGAUGAAGGAACAUAUUUGGACAGGCGAUGAGCGACUGUGGAUUUUAUUUGGAAAUUUUAACGGUUUGUAUGAAAAUGGACAAAUUUCAAGUAUUUACGUAAACGCAUUCCUGGAGCAAUACAUCUUUGUUUGAACCUGCAUAUGUCAGAUGUAUUUCUGAAUCAUGCUAUAGAAGAUCAUAAAUUCUAACAAUAGACUUUUUAUUCACUGAGUAAAGGGUCGUUAAGACAUGUAAAUAUUGUGAAAAAAGGGCGUUUUGAUUGCAAAGUUGCAAAUAUUUUAAUAUGCAGAAAGUUAAACAAAUUGUCAUAGAUCGCUCGUGUGUGUCUUGAUGAUACUGUUGAGAAAAGUCAUCGAUGAGAGUUUUCAGAAUUAUAUAUAAUUAAAAUAAAAUAACACACAAGUUUGUGAUGAAAUUUUUUAAAUAAAAUAUGAUGCGAACUAUGUAUGAAAAAUUUUGAUUCUAAUGUUCGAAUGUGGUUGGCGUAAUCUACAUAAAUGUAUUAUUUACUAAUAUUUGUGUUUUUGUGUUGUAUUUUCCAGCACUAGUUCGUUUUUGUAGCAAAAUAAGACAGGUUACAUGGCGAUCUUUGUCGUGUUGUAAUAUUGUUAUAUCACGCAAACUGCAAUCUUACAUUCAACAUAAAAAUUUUACCAUAAAUUGCUAAAAUGUUCGUGAAUUUAUUGUUUCACAAUUCUUUUUAUUGAUCUAUAUUUUCUUAUCCAUUUAUGUUUAAAAAAUACGAAUGGCAAACAAUCAUAACACGAUGAACAAGAUGACUGCUUUCCGUAAUUCUAGCCAUGCUUUCCAACGCUUUCCUGCCUGGUAUAAAAGUCUCCCAUCGUCAUUCAAUUCUUUAUCCUUGGUUGUUCGUUUGUAGGGAUUUUGCUUAUUACUUUUAGUAAAAUUGAAUUUUAGCUAAUUGUAAUGAAUUUGGGGAACUUGCAAAUGCCAUUAAAAGUCAAGAGUCCUUCAGAAAUGAACAUCUCAAGUUACCCAGUCAAGAUUUUGUUCAUGUUAUUGAUCUGAUCCACGAGAAAACAAUGUUAAAUAAAGAUUUCUUACCAAUGGUGUGUAUUGGCUUCCUGUGAGGUAAAAGACCAAAACUAUACUGAAAUAUACCGCGACCAUAAAAAAACACUGGGGCAAAAGCAAUAGUCUUUUGAAUUUUUGUUUGUAUUUCUCGCAAACGAGAACCUCGGGGAUUACUGACUUGUUUGAAAAUAUCAUUUUCACCAAAUGAAAACACUGGAACAAGAGAUGAUCUAAAAUAAAAAAACUAUACUUACGAUGAGAUCACAUAAGUUUGUAGAGCAGUAGCUUGCUUUUUUAAUUUGUGUUACUGUCUUAUUUAUUAAAUAAAAUCAUCACCAUUUUCAUCUAA